rnacentral:rRNA from 2 species
CGGACGAGAAGCUUGCUUCUCUGAUGUUAGCGGCGGACGGGUGAGUAACACGUGGAUAACCUACCUAUAAGACUGGGAUAACUUCGGGAAACCGGAGCUAAUACCGGAUAAUAUUUUGAACCGCAUGGUUCAAAAGUGAAAGACGGUCUUGCUGUCACUUAUAGAUGGAUCCGCGCUGCAUUAGCUAGUUGGUAAGGUAACGGCUUACCAAGGCAACGAUGCAUAGCCGACCUGAGAGGGUGAUCGGCCACACUGGAACUGAGACACGGUCCAGACUCCUACGGGAGGCAGCAGUAGGGAAUCUUCCGCAAUGGGCGAAAGCCUGACGGAGCAACGCCGCGUGAGUGAUGAAGGUCUUCGGAUCGUAAAACUCUGUUAUUAGGGAAGAACAUAUGUGUAAGUAACUGUGCACAUCUUGACGGUACCUAAUCAGAAAGCCACGGCUAACUACGUGCCAGCAGCCGCGGUAAUACGUAGGUGGCAAGCGUUAUCCGGAAUUAUUGGGCGUAAAGCGCGCGUAGGCGGUUUUUUAAGUCUGAUGUGAAAGCCCACGGCUCAACCGUGGAGGGUCAUUGGAAACUGGAAAACUUGAGUGCAGAAGAGGAAAGUGGAAUUCCAUGUGUAGCGGUGAAAUGCGCAGAGAUAUGGAGGAACACCAGUGGCGAAGGCGACUUUCUGGUCUGUAACUGACGCUGAUGUGCGAAAGCGUGGGGAUCAAACAGGAUUA